GCUAUUGGAGUUCGAUUAAGCCAUGCGAGUCGAGAGUCCUCGGGACUCGGCGUACCGCUCAGUAACACGUGGGUAACCUGCCCUAUGCUGGGGAAUAACCUCGGGAAACUGAGAAUAAUGCCCCAUAGCCCACUACGCCUGGAACGGUGAGUGGGUCAAAGCUCCGGCGGCAUAGGAUGGGCCUGCGCCGUAUCAGGUUGUAGGGGGUGUAAAGUACCCUCUAGCCAUCAACGCGUACGGGUGUUGGGAGACAUUGCCCGGAGAUGGAUUCUGAGACACGAAUCCAGACCCUACGGGGUGCAGCAGGCGCGAAAACUUGGCAAUGCGAGCAAUCGUGACCAGGGAACUCCAAGUGCGUAGGGUAAGACCUACGCUUUUCUUGACUCUUCAAAGGUCUUGGAAUAAGGGGUGGGUAAGGACGGUGCCAGCCGCCGCGGUAAUACCGGCGCCUCAAGUGGUAGUCGCUUUUAUUGGGCCUAAAACGUCCGUAGCCGGUCUGGUGCAUUCGUGGGUAAAUCAACCCGCUCAACGGGUUGAAUUCUGCGAGCACGGCCAGACUUGGGACCGGGAGAGGUGUGGGGUACUCUCAGGGUAGGGGUAAAAUCCUGUCAUCCUGAGAGGACCACCUGUUGCGAAGGCGCCACACUAGAACGGAUCCGACGGUCAGGGACGAAACCUAGGGGCACGAACCGGAUUAGAUACCCGGGCAGUCCUAGGUGUAAACGCUGUGGACUUGAUGUUGGGGGCGCUCCGAGCGCUCUCAGUGUCGAAGCGAAGGUGAUAAGUCCACUGCCUGGGGAGUACGGUCGCAAGGCUGAAACUUAAAGGAAUUGGCGGGGGAGCACUGC
rnacentral:rRNA from 1 species